GACGAACGCUGGCGGCGUGCUUAACACAUGCAAGUCGAACGGAAAGGCCUGCUUUCCCUUGUGGAUUGCGGGUACUCGAGUGGCGAACGGGUGAGUAACGCGUGAGUGAUCUGCCCCCAACUUGGGUAUAAGCCUGGGAAACUGGGUCUAAUUCCCGAUAGGACUGCAGGGUGGUGCCUGUGGUGGAAAACGAUUUUCUAGUGGUUGGGGAUGAGCUCGCGGCCUAUCAGCUUGUUGGUGGGGUAAUGGCCUACCAAGGCGGCGACGGGUAGCCGGCCUGAGAGGGUGGACGGCCACAUUGGGACUGAGAUACGGCCCAGACUCCUACGGGAGGCAGCAGUGGGGAAGAUUGCACAAUGGGCGGAAGCCUGAUGCAGCGACGCCGCGUGGGGGAUGACGGCCUUCGGGUUGUAAACUCCUUUCGACCGCGAGGAAGCCACCUGGUUGGAAGGGUGGUGACGGUAGUGGUAGAAGAAGCACCGGCUAACUACGU
rnacentral:rRNA from 1 species